UACGUAGGGGGCAAGCGUUGUCCGGAAUCACUGGGCGUAAAGCGCACGUAGGCGGAUUCUUAAGUCAGGGGUGAAAUCCUGGAGCUCAACUCCAGAACUGCCUUUGAUACUGAGGGUCUUGAGUUCGGGAGAGGUGAGUGGAACUGCGAGUGUAGAGGUGAAAUUCGUAGAUAUUCGCAAGAACACCAGUGGCGAAGGCGGCUCACUGGCCCGAUACUGACGCUGAGGUGCGAAAGCGUGGGGAGCAAACAGGG
rnacentral:rRNA from 1 species